rnacentral:rRNA from 1 species
AUUGAACGCUGGCGGCAGGCCUAACACAUGCAAGUCGAACGGUAGCACAGAGAGCUUGCUCUCGGGUGACGAGUGGAGGACGGGUGAGUAAUGUCUGGGAAACUGCCCGAUGGAGGGGGAUAACUACUGGAAACGGUAGCUAAUACCGCAUAACGUCGCAAGACCAAAGUGGGGGACCUUCGGGCCUCACACCAUCGGAUGUGCCCAGAUGGGAUUAGCUAGUAGGUGGGGUAAUGGCUCACCUAGGCGACGAUCCCUAGCUGGUCUGAGAGGAUGACCAGCCACACUGGAACUGAGACACGGUCCAGACUCCUACGGGAGGCAGCAGUGGGGAAUAUUGCACAAUGGGUGCAAGCCUGAUGCAGCCAUGCCGCGUGUAUGAAGUAGGCCUUCGGGUUGUAAAGUACUUUCAGCGGGGAGGAAGGCGGUGAAGUUAAUAACUUCACCGAUUGACGUUACCCGCAGAAGAAGCACCGGCUAACUCCGUGCCAGCCGCCGCCGUAA